rnacentral:rRNA from 1 species
AGUCGAGCGGUAAGGCCCUUCGGGGUACACGAGCGGCGAACGGGUGAGUAACACGUGGGUGAUCUGCCCUGCACUUCGGGAUAAGCCUGGGAAACUGGGUCUAAUACCGGAUAUGACCUUCGGCUGCAUGGCUGAGGGUGGAAAGGUUUACUGGUGCAGGAUGGGCCCGCGGCCUAUCAGCUUGUUGGUGGGGUAAUGGCCUACCAAGGCGACGACGGGUAGCCGACCUGAGAGGGUGACCGGCCACACUGGGACUGAGACACGGCCCAGACUCCUACGGGAGGCAGCAGUGGGGAAUAUUGCACAAUGGGCGAAAGCCUGAUGCAGCGACGCCGCGUGAGGGAUGACGGCCUUCGGGUUGUAAACCUCUUUCAGCAGGGACGAAGCGAAAGUGACGGUACCUGCAGAAGAAGCACCGGCC